UGGGGAAUAUUGGACAAUGGGCGCAAGCCUGAUCCAGCCAUGCCGCGUGAGUGAUGAAGGCCCUAGGGUUGUAAAGCUCUUUCACCGGUGAAGAUAAUGACGGUAACCGGAGAAGAAGCCCCGGCUAACUUCGUGCCAGCAGCCGCGGUAAUACGAAGGGGGCUAGCGUUGUUCGGAUUUACUGGGCGUAAAGCGCACGUAGGCGGACUAUUAAGUCAGGGGUGAAAUCCCGGGGCUCAACCCCGGAACUGCCUUUGAUACUGGUAGUCUUGAGUUCGAGAGAGGUGAGUGGAAUUCCGAGUGUAGAGGUGAAAUUCGUAGAUAUUCGGAGGAACCAGUGGCGAAGGCGGCUCACUGGCUCGAUACUGACGCUGAGGUGCGAAAGCGUGGGGAGCAAACAGG
rnacentral:rRNA from 1 species